rnacentral:rRNA from 1 species
UGGAAGGAGAAGUCGUAACAAGGUUUCCGUAGGUGAACCUGCGGAAGGAUCAUUGUCAAAGACCCCACGAGGAACGACCGCGAACGCGUAAACCAAGUGCCACCACCGGCUCGAGUGGGGCGACCACCCCAUCGGCCCGGCGGCGGCGCCGUGCGCCCCGUCCCGUCCCAUCCCAUCCCGCGGGGGCCGGGRGGGCGGGCGGGCGGACGGACUACGAACACCCCCGGCGCGAUGGGCGCCAAGGAACACUAACUUACUGGGGCGUGCACACAAGGGGCCCAUGCGGCCUCCGGCGCGCCCCCGGUGCUGUUGCAAAACCUCGAAUGACUCUCGGCAACGGAUAUCUCGGCUCUCGCAUCGAUGAAGAACGUAGCGAAAUGUGAUAUUUGGUGUGAAUUGCAGAAUCCCGUGAACCAUCGAGUCUUUGAACGCAAGUUGCGCCCGAGGCCUUGCGGCCAAGGGCACGCCUGCCUGGGCGUCACGCCAUCGACGCUCCGCGCCCCCCACCCCCUAGGGAGCACGGGCUACGGACGCGGAAGCUGGCCCCCUGCGCCCUCGCGCGCGGCUGGCCGAAGACCCAACUGCCGCGUCCUCGGUGGGACACGAUGGGUGGUGGACGCCCCUGUGCGAGCCGAACAUCGUGCCCCUCCCGACGCGCGCAGCGACAACGCGGACCCCAUACUUGGACUGCGACCCCAGGUCAGGCGGGGCCACCCGCUGAGUUUAAGCAUAU